CACCGCAUCUCUACAUUCAAGAACUGGCCCUUCUUGGAGGGCUGCGCCUGCACCCCGGAGCGGAUGGCCGAGGCUGGCUUCAUCCACUGCCCCACUGAGAACGAGCCAGACUUGGCCCAGUGUUUCUUCUGCUUCAAGGAGCUGGAAGGCUGGGAGCCAGAUGACGACCCCAUUGGGCCAGGCGUAGUGGCUCACGUCUGUAAUCCCAGCACUGUGGGAGGCUGAGGCGGGCAGAUCACGAGGUCAGGUGAUCGAGACCAUCCUGGCUAACAUGGUGAAACCCCGUCUCUACUAAAAAAAAAAUAGAAAAAAUUAGCUGGGCGUGGUGGCGGGUGCCUGUAGUCCCAGCUACUCGAGAGGCUGAGGCAGGAGAAUGGUGUGAACCCAGGAGGCGGAGCUUGCAGUGAGCAGAGAUCACGCCACUGCACUCCAGCCUGGGCGACAGAGCGAGACUCCAUCUCAGGAAAAAAAAAAAAAUCCUUACAGUGGAUUACAUAACAAUUCCAGUGAAAUGAAAUUACUUCAAACAGUUCCUUGAGAAUGUUGGAGGGAUUUGACAUGUAAUUCCUUUGGAUGUAUACCAUGUAACAUUUUUCCAACUAAUUGCUAAAGAAGUCCAGAUAAAAUAGAUACAUUAGCCACACAGAUGUGGGGGGAGAUGUCCAUAGGGAGAGAGAAGGUGCUAAGAGGUGCAAUAUGGGAAUGUGGCUUGGGCAAAGCACUGAUGCCAUCAACUUCAGACUUGACGUCUUACUCCUGAGGCAGAGCAGGGUGUUCCUGUGGAGGGCGUGGGAAGGUGGCCCGUGGGGAGUGGACUGCCGCUUUAAUCCCUUCAGCUGCCUUUCCGCUGUUUUGAUUUUUCUAGAGAGGAACAUAAAAAGCAUUCGUCCGGUUGCGCUUUCCUUUCUGUCAAGAAGCAGUUUGAAGAAUUAACCCUUGGUGAAUUUUUGAAACUGGACAGAGAAAGAGCCAAGAACAAAAUUGAGAGAGCUCUGUUAGCAGAAUGAAAAAAUUGGAAGCCAGAUUCAGGGAGGGACUGGAAGCAAAAGAAUUUCUGUUCGAGGAAGAGCCUGAUGUUUGCCAGGGUCUGUUUAACUGGACAUGAAGAGGAAGGCUCUGGACUUUCCUCCAGGAG
rnacentral:sRNA from 1 species